AGAGUUUGAUCCUGGCUCAGAAUCAACGCUGGCGGCGCGCUUAACACAUGCAAGUCGCACGAGAAAGGGGCAACCUGAGUAAAGUGGCGUACGGGUGAGUAACACGUGGAUGAUCUACCUUUUAGUGGGGAAUACCCCUGGGAAACCGGGGAUAAUACCGCAUGAGCUCGUAAGAGGAAAGCCGAAAGGCGCUGAAAGAG
rnacentral:rRNA from 1 species